rnacentral:rRNA from 1 species
AAGAAAAUGGCAAACCUCCUAAACCAUUGUGAACGUUACCUAAACCGCUUGCUUCGGCGGGCGGCCCCGGGGUAAAAAACCCCGGGCGCCCCUGGGCCCCACCGCGGGCGCCCUUUGGAGGAAAAACAAACUCUUGAUAAUUUAUGGCCUCUCUGAGUCUUCUGUACUGAAUAAGUCAAAACUUUCAACAACGGAUCUCUUGGUUCUGGCAUCGAUGAAGAACGCAGCGAAAUGCGAUAAGUAAUGUGAAUUGCAGAAUUCAGUGAAUCAUCGAAUCUUUGAACGCACAUUGCGCCCGCCAGUAUUCUGGCGGGCAUGCCUGUUCGAGCGUCAUUUCAACCAUCAAGCCCCGGGCUUGUGUUGGGGACCUGCGGCUGCCGCAGGCCCUGAAAAGCAGUGGCGGGCUCGCUGUCACACCUAGCGUAGUAGCAUACAUCUCGCUCUGGGCGUGCUGCGGGUUCCGGCCGUUAAAACCACCUUUUAACCCAAGGUUGACCUCGGAUCAGGUAGGAAGACCCGCUGAACUUAAGCAUAUCAAUGAAACGGAGGAA